GGGGGAAUAGCUCAGUGGUAGAGCGCUGGAUUCCAGUCCCAGCGGUCGAUCCCCUCUUCCCUCA
rnacentral:tRNA from 1 species